UACGUAGGGUGCAAGCGUUAAUCGGAAUUACUGGGCGUAAAGCGUGCGCAGGCGGUUUUGUAAGUCUGUCGUGAAAGCCCCGGGCUCAACCUGGGAAUUGCGAUGGAGACUGCAAGGCUUGAAUCUGGCAGAGGGGGGUAGAAUUCCACGUGUAGCAGUGAAAUGCGUAGAGAUGUGGAGGAACACCGAUGGCGAAGGCAGCCCCCUGGGGCAAGAUUGACGCUCAUGCACGAAAGCGUGGGGAGCAAACAGG
rnacentral:rRNA from 1 species